rnacentral:rRNA from 1 species
GAUGUGGAAGAGUUAUUAUGGCCACCCAAGGCUACGACCGGUAAGACCUUGAGAGGGGUGUCCUGCAUGCACUGAAACACCGGUCCAUACACCUACGGUGGCAGCAGUAAGGGAAUAUGGGCAUUGGCGAAAGGCUUGACCCAGCACGCCGCGUGCACCGAUGAAGGCCUUCCGGUCGUAAAGUGCUUUUCUGAGGAAUGAGUAAAGAACAGUACCUCCAGGAAUAAGCCUCGGGCUAACUACGUGCCAGCAGCCGCGGUAAUACGUAGGGGGCAAGCGUUGUCCGGAUUCACUGGGUGUAAAGGGCGCGUAGGCGGGAUAGCAAGUCAGUGGUGAAAUCUUGCAGCUCAACUGCAAAACUGCCAUUGAUACUGCUGUUCUUGAAUGUGGAAGAGAGAGGCGGAAUUCCAGGUGUAGUAGUGAAAUACGUAGAUAUCUGGAAGAACACCAAUUGCGAAGGCUGCUUCUUGGUCCAUUAUUGACGCUGAGGCGCGAAAGCGUGGGUAGCGAACAGGAUUAGAUACCCUGGUAGUCCACGCUGUAAACGAUGGACACUCGCUGUUGGCGAUACACAGUCAGCGGCUGAGCUAAAGUAUUAAGUGUCCCACCUGGGGAGUACGAUCGCAAGGUUGAAACUCAAAGGAAUUGACGGGGGCCCGCACAAGCGGUGGAGCAUGUGGUUUAAUUCGAUGAUACGCGAGGAACCUUACCUGGGCUUAAAUGUAGAACGCUUUUUGCUGAAAGGCAAUUUUCCUUCGGGACGUUUUGCAAGGUGCUGCAUGGUUGUCGUCAGUUCGUGCCGUGAGGUGUCGGGUUAAGUCCCAUAACGAGCGCAACCCUUAUCAUUAGUUGCCAACAGGUAAUGCUGGGGACUCUAAUGAAACUGCCUACGCAAGUAGUGAGGAAGGUGGGGAUGACGUCAAGUCCGCAUGGCCCUUACGCCUAGGGCUACACACGUGCUACAAUGGCCGGUACAAAGGGUCGCAAUACCGCGAGAUGGAGCGAAUCCCUAAAAAGCGGCCUCAGUUCGGAUUGGAGUCUGCAACUCGACUCCAUGAAGUUGGAAUUGCUAGUAAUCGCGUAUCAGCAUGACGCGGUGAAUACGUUCCCGGGCCUUGUACACACCGCCCGUCAAGCCAUGGAAGCCGGGGGUACCCAAAGAUAGUGACUCAACCGCAAGGAGAGAGCUAUUUAAGGUAAAACUGGUGACUGGGGCUAAGUCGUAACAAGGUAGCCGUA